CCUGGGGAUCUCCUUUUUUGUAUUCCCCCAAGAAAGCUGGGUUUUAUUGACCCUGCUCUGUUGUUCACUCCCACAACUGCGUCCGCAUUCAGGGCCAAGUGCUUGGAGGACAGAGAGAAAAGGCCAAUGGGGAUUUGCCCCACCUUUUGGUACUAUUGCUCCUCUGAUUAGAGAAGAACAUUCCCCUCCCUAACAGUUUUAGGUGUCUGGGGCCCCCUUUGCCACCAUGGUCUACCAGGACACCUGUUUACAGUUCCUGAAACUUGGAACACUGCACUGAUGCCCACUUCUCCUCUCUCCACCCCUUCACUCUUUCCACCCCACUAAGGCCAGGCAAGGUUAUUCUGGAGUUUAAACAAAAUGGUAAGCUCUCCACUGGUUUGGUGGUGCUUCGAGAGCUGAUCCUCCUCCCCAGUCCUUUUCUGUUUUUCAGAGUUCCUAAGUUGCAUUCUGUUCAAGUUUUAUAACUAUAUUCAGUGGGGGAGAGCCAGAGGGGUCUUGCUUAUGUCAUUUUCCCUAGAACUGGAACCCCACUACCCAGAAAUCAACACUGCCAAUAUUUUGGAGUCUUUUUGUCCAGUGUAUAUUCUGGACACACACACUCACUGUUGAAAUCACACCCUAUGUACAGUUUAGUCAUUUACUUCUUUCAAUAUCAUUGUGAGAAGUUUCCAAAAUAUUAUUAAAAUAUGAAUAAAAUAUUUUAAAUCUGA
rnacentral:lncRNA from 1 species